UGCUAAGUGGUCAGUUAUUUGGGAUUUGAGCACCCAACAACAACAAAAUUAUGUUUAUCAUACAUGCGCUUUAUAGAGAAACACUUGUGAGAUGUUACCCCAAGAAUCACUUGAAUUUUUAAUAAACGGUUCAACUAAAAGCACUUCUAACUAAAGUGCAGUGCUUAUGAACGUAAGUUGUUCCUACAUAAACGAUUUUCAAAAGAGCACAUACUUCAUUUUGUGGACCAAUAAUACUACAACGCAUGUUUUUUUUUUUUUAAAUUUCCAUAAUGUUUUGAGAAGUUUUAAAUUAUACCUAUGCUAAAACCCAGCACAAAAAUAUUGUUCAUUAACAGUAAACGGACUAAAGUACCCUCCAAUUCCUUUGUUAUCGGCCAUUUUUUACCACUUCGACAAAGCACUAUUCCCCUAUUAUGCACAUGUCAGCCAUCUUGGAGAGGGAAGGGGGAUGAAAAGGCUCUUCGAUCUCCAGUCGCUUCCAGAAAGCACAAUCACUAGAAAUCUCUAUCCCAGAAACCAUUCGUUCUCCAUUUGCCGUUAUCGUCCAACUCCGAUUUAGCUACCCUUCGUCAACUCCAUCUACUUUAACUUUCCUACAUAUCUUUUUGUCUUCGAAGCUCCAAAUUCUUGGCCAAAUAGAACAUCGAACGCCCCGGUGGUCACCAGCUCCAGUUCGAGGUCGAGAAGCACUCGGUCAACGAUGUCCCUAACGCCAAGAUUUCGUAAGGUCUCAAUGUCGAAGAAGAUUUCGUAUGCUUUUUGUCAACAAUGACGACCUAACACAGAUCAUGUCCCGAUUUGAAGAAAAUUCUUCAAGCGGCUUUGAAUUCAUACUUAAAUUUUUGGACUACAAUGGGAGGCAAUUAUUCAUUGGAUACUUGAGUACUCCUUCACUAAUUUUCAUAAUUUGGUGAUCAAAACAAAAAGCGUUGAGUUCAUGCCAUUUAAUCUUUUCUUUGCAAAUUUCGUAGUGAGUUUCUCAUUCAUUGCACAGGGAGUGUUCAAGGUGAACCUUUCUCUCUAUAUGCCAAAUGAUAUUGAGGAACAAUUUUAGCCUUUGUACAAUUGGUUCUAUUCUUCUACUAAAAAAAUUCAUCUAAAGAAGACGCGGAAAAGAACCAUUGAUAGUUGCACAUCAGUGUUGCAGAGAUUUGAUUCAAAUUGGUGGAUUUGGGUAAGAAACUAAGAAACCCUAACAUUUCUUUCGAUUUUAAGAGCUGAAAUGGACAUGCAUGUGUUUUUUUUGUGAGAUAUAAGGGAUUGAGGAAUUUUGAGAGUGGUGGCUAGCUAAGGAAAUAGAGAAGGGAUAAUUCUUUUUGUUUUGGGAUCCAGAGUUUAUUGCAAAGUUGAAUUCUCAUGAUUUUUUUGUUGUUCUAAUGUCUUUUGUUCAUGUAUUUGAAAGCAUUUUUUUUUAUUUCUGCCAAUUUAUCUGAACCCCAAUUCAAUUUGCUAGAAUUCAUUAGAGAGUAUUGGGUCUGAUCAUUUCCCUUUAAUUUUUCAAGUUGUUUAUUUAUUUCUAUAGGGGAGUUGCAGGUGUCCAUGUCAAAUUCAUAAAGAAAAAGAACCAUUAUUUUAGGGAAAUUGUUAUCGACACUCCAAAUUUCUCAUUAUAUACUUCAAACUUUCUAUACUUUGAAAGAAAAAUACACUUGUAAGAAGUGUAGAAUGAGAUUUUUGGAGUGCCAAUAACACUUCUCUUUUCUGGAUAUAUUGAAACAUGUAAGAAAUUGUUCUCUACUAACAUUUCGGGUUUAAUUUCUCUACUAACAUGUAAGAAAUUAUGUUACAUGUUCAGUUUCUUUUAGUUUUACUAUAUAGAU